GUCCUUUUCCAAACCCUGCUGGAUCUGGACGCGGACAUACAUGCCCGGCAGCAGAUCGUUGUUCGGGUUGGGGAAUUCGC
rnacentral:sRNA from 1 species